rnacentral:pre_miRNA from 1 species
AGUGGACUUGCUGGAUCAUAUGGUAACUCUAUGGUAACUUUCAAAGGAACUGAUAAACUCUUUUCCAAAGUGGCUUUGCCAUUUUACAUUUCCAUCAGCAGU